CAGUCGCCACGGGAAUACGUAGGUGGCAAGCGUUGUCCGGAAUUAUUGGGCGUAAAGGGCUCGCAGGCGGUUUCUUAAGUCUGAUGUGAAAGCCCCCGGCUCAACCGGGGAGGGUCAUUGGGAACUGGGAAACUUGAGUGCAGAAGAGGAGAGUGGAAUUCCACGUGUAGCGGUGAAAUGCGUAGAGAUGUGGAGGAACACCAGUGGCGAAGGCGACUCUCUGGUCUGUAACUGACGCUGAGGAGCGAAAGCGUGGGGAGCGAACAGGAUUAGAUACCCCGGUAGUCCCUGUCUCUUAACA
rnacentral:rRNA from 1 species